AACGAACGCUGGCGGCAGGCCUAACACAUGCAAGUCGAGCGGACCUUUCGGGGUCAGCGGCGGACGGGUGAGUAACGCGUGGGAAUAUGCCCUUCUCUACGGAAUAGUCCUGGGAAACUGGGGGUAAUACCGUAUACGCCCUUUGGGGGAAAGAUUUAUCGGGGAAGGAUUAGCCCGCGUUGGAUUAGGUAGUUGGUGGGGUAAUGGCCUACCAAGCCGACGAUCCAUAGCUGGUUUGAGAGGAUGAUCAGCCACACUGGGACUGAGACACGGCCCAGACUCCUACGGGAGGCAGCAGUGGGGAAUCUUAGACAAUGGGGGCAACCCUGAUCUAGCCAUGCCGCGUGAGUGAUGAAGGCCUUAGGGUUGUAAAGCUCUUUCAGCUGGGAAGAUAACGACGGUACCAGCAGAAGAAGCCCCGGCUAACUCCGUG
rnacentral:rRNA from 1 species